rnacentral:lncRNA from 1 species
AUGCAGGGCACCAGUCUAGUGAGGACCAGUGGUUGCUUGGCAGUUUCUGGAUCCCAGGUUCUAGAACAGCUUUUAUCCCAGUUCUAUCUAUCUGUUAAAUCAGUUUCUGUACCACAGGUUCUAGAACAGCUUCUAUCCCAGUUCUAUCUGUCUGUUAAAUCAGUUUCUGGACCACAGGUUCUAGAACAGCUUCUAUCCCAGUUCUAUCUGCUUGUUAAAUCAGUUUCUGGACCACAGGUUCUAGAACAGCUUCUAUCCCAGUUCUAUCUGCCUGUUAAAUCAGUUUCUGGACCACAGGUUCUAGAACAACUUCUAUCCCAGUUCUAUCUGCCUGUUAAAUCAGAUUCUGGACCACAGGUUCUAGAACAGCUUCUAUCCCAGUUAUAUCUGCCUGUUAAAUCAGUUUCUGGACCACAGGUUCUAGAACAGCUUCUAUCCCAGUUCUAUCUGCCUGUUAAAUCAGUUUCUGGACCACAGGUUCUAGAACAGUUUCUAUCCCAGUUCUAUCUGCCUGUUAAAUCAGUUUCUGUACCUCAGGUUCUAGAACAGCUUCUAUCCCAGUUCUAUCUGCCUGUUAAAUCAGUUUCUGGACCACAGGUUCUAGAACAGCUACAAUCCCAGUUCUAUCUGCCUGUUAAAUCAGUUUCUGGGCCACAGGUUCUAGAACAGCUUCUAUCCCAGUUCUAUCUGCCUGUUAAAUCAGUUUUUGGACCACAGGUUCUAGAACAGCUUCUAUCCCAGUUCUAUCUGCCUGUUAAAUCAGUUUCUGGAUCACAGGUUCUAGAACAGCUUCUAUCCCAGUUCUAUCUGCCUGUUAAAUCAGUUUCUGGAUCACAGAUUCUAGAACAGCUUCUCUCCCAGUUCUAUGUGCCUGUUAAAUCAGUUUCUGGACCACAGGUUCUAGAACAGCUACUAUCCCAGUUCUAUCUGCCUGUUAAAUCAGUUUCUGUACCACAGGUUCUAGAACAGCUUCUAUCCCAGUUCUAUCUGCCUGUUAAAUCAGUUUCUGUACCACAGGUUCUAGAACAGCUUCUAUCCCAGUUCUAUCUGCCUGUUAAAUCAUCAACCUGUUUCCAUCAGACUAUUAGAACAUGA